UGCUUUAUAUUUUUUGCUCCAACUACUCUGGACAAACCGAAGCCCCGUAAUAUGCUACAGUCUCUCACACUUCCAGAGUUUGCUUCUGCUAUUUCUAUGGGAAAGUCAUUGUUCCUUUUUCAGCUCCUAGGUCAUUCCUGUUAGUCCUUUAGUACUAAGUGUAGAUGCCAGCUCUCCCUGACAUCUUCCCCAGCUUUUUCAGUGUGAGUCUUUACCUCUUUUCUGUGCCUCUUAAUGUAGGGGCGUAUACCUAUCCUUCCAUUUAGCGCAACUACAUUUUUCUCAGAUGAAUAUAUUUUAUGUCGAGAUGGUGUUUUCUUGAAAUGUACAAAUCCUGCCCUCCCCACCAGUGACAAUCUGAUAAACAGGAAAAUUAUUAUUUUUUAAUUGAGUUGUUGAAAUAAGGAUUCAAACUACAGUAGGGAGAAAACCAAGGAAGGAGCCAUAAAGGAAACAAUAUUGGAGGUAACACUGACCAGAUUUGGCAACUUCUGUACAGUAUUACUGAAAGGGAAUAAUUAGAAAUGAUUGUAACAUUUUUAGUCCGAAUGAAUGGAAGGGUAGAAUUAUAUGGCCAUCUGGUUUGGACAGGAGGCAAAACAUCCAUUUUUGAAAUGUUAAGUUUAAAAAAUCUAUAGGGCAUCCAUGAAUAGAUACAUGGGAGGCAUUCAGGAUUUGGGACAUAGGUUUCAAAGGAAAGAUCCGAGCUAGAAAAAUAGAUUUAGUCUUCAAUAUAUAAAAAACAAAACAAAACAAAACAUCAUUGUAGCCACAAGCAAGAGAAAUGUAGUUAACUGAGAAUGUGAAGUCAAGGAGUUGACGUGUCCUAUGGAGUCACAGAAGGAGGAGCUUGUGCUAAGUGACAAUUUUGGUCAGGACUUCUGAUGUAGACAUUUUUCUGAUGGGUUUUCUCUCAGUUCAUUUAUUGACAUAGAAGGAUAUUCCACAGAUACAAUAUGUCAGCAUACGAGACGCAAAAAACUGCUGUUCUUUUGUUUUGAAAGCAUCAUCCUCCAAGAGUCAUGCAAAUCAGAAAUUUAUUAUGGAAGCUGUACUUUUAGAUCAUCUGGGAAUUUCCCUAAAUUUAACGCCCCUACUGUCAUAUUGUCCCUCCCAUUUUUACAUAAAGGAACAUAAAAUGCUAGAAAGAUUGCAUCCAGGCUUGCAUGUAAUUUUGCAAAAGUGACGGAUUUUAAAAAUUUCACAAAGGGCAAUUAUACUACACAAUAUUAUUCUUCUCAGUUAUGCAUCUGUUGAAGGAAAAAAUGGUGUCAUUAAAUGAAAACAUAAAGUUCUUGACAUUUAUUGUUGUUUAUUGAGCUUGGCUGACUGUACAAAUAUAGCUCCUAAAAUUAUAAAUUGCUAAUUUCUUAAAGUAAAAAGUAAAAUUCUGAACUCUGAACAUAAAUUUUAAACAACAAACUGAUACAUUCUUAAGUACCUAUGGAUUACAAAGUUUCAGGAAACAGAUAUAAUAAGAGUAAUAACGACUGCAACAUAAUUCAUACUAGUAAUAGAUUCUCCAUUUUGCUUAUCAAAAGUAUUUGCUUUUUAACAAUUAUUGUAGGUCUCAUCACGAACAUGCAUUGAGAUGCUUCUGCUGGGAUGUUGCGUUUCAGCUUCCACAUUCUCUGUGGUAACAGUGUGCAGGAAAAUGCAAGGGUAGGGAUGAGAUACAUAGUAUUGCCAGAAGCAAUUUGAAACUGGCUAGGCAGAAACACAACCUAUUUUUUUUGGGGGGGGGUUCCACCUUUUCUGAUCCAGAAAAUGUUUGCGUUAACUCUCAUUCCCAGCUGGAAGCUACUUUAUUAUGACUCAGUGGAUCAAUAUACACUGGGAACUGUCAACUAUGAUAGGUGGCCUGACAAUCCGAUAAAAGGGCUCAUUGGUUUGAGUGGAAAUGAGGCUGCAUUGUGAGACAUUCUUCUUAUCAAAAAGGACAAUUUAGAACUUUCCAUUAUACAUUACAAAUAGAAAUAAGUUGGAGAUAAACAGAGCAAAAUGAUGGGUUUUUUUCCCUCUUCUGCCUGCAUUCUGCGUCUUUCACGUCCUGACAGACUUGAUCAUGCUCCCUCAAAACCCUGGCUGAUCUUUAUCUCAGCAAAACCGCAGAAACAUUCACCUGAUUUUUUCUGAUAUAGAAUAAUUAGUGGCCUGUAAUUUGAGAAGAGUUUUAAACCUCAGUUUAGGAGAUACAACAACAUGGACAAUUACAAGUGUGUAACCACAGGUUAAAAUCAGCUUAAUAAAAGUGCCUAGAUUGGAAAAAUCGCCCACCAGUGGUUUGUUACAUUUGUUAUAUUUUCACUCUUCCCCAUUUUAACACAGUGUAAUCCCAAAAAAAUCAAAUACGUUGAAACUUCAGUUUUUUCGUCUGAUGAGGUAAAGAAAUCAUUUAAAGCACAUUUAAUAAUCAAGGAUAAGGCCAACAAAUCUAAAUAUGUGUUAGUCCCCGGCAAAAGUAAUGGUAAUGUAUCAUGAUUUUUACAUAAACCUCAUAAUAGCAAAUCUUUUCUCUACAUUUUUCAUAAAAUCAUAGCCCUUGUGCAUUCCUCUCAUUUGUUUGUAGGCCAGGAGCCAGAUGGAACUAGCUGGGGUGCACGGAUAUUACAGGAAGCAAUUCAUUGCGUAGUAAAAGGGCCUGCAGUUGAAAGCAUUUCUAGAAUUGAAUGUGUGCACAGGGGAAUAUUGUACCUGCUAGCUUCAAACUCUGAAUUCUAUUUGCAUACCACUCUAUCAUUCUGUUACAGAACAUACCUGUUAAAGCCAGCAUGUAGGUAUAUAUAUGUACACUGGGAAUUAUGAAAAUUUAUACAUACAUGUAUAUAUUUGUUUCUCUCUGUCUGGUUUGUAGUAAAAAUCAUUGUGAUAACCAAUAAAUGUGGAGUGAUUCUGCCCCAGAAUGUGAAUGUGACUGUACUAAUGCUAUACAUAUAGCAAAAUGCUUUUUGAAUUGGAUAUAUGCAUUAAUUCUUCUGACCACCUAUAUAUAUAUUCAAACAGCAUUAUUAUUGAAAAUCCACCUAUCAUUUUAUAAAGUCACAAUAUGUAAAUGUAUUAGCAGAUUUUGAGAUGUUAGGCACCCAAACAAAAUACUCAUACAGCUACAAUGAGAUAUCACAUAGUACUACUACAGUAUAUUAAUCUUCAGAUCUGAAAUACUGGUUGAUAUUAUUUUCUCAGGCCAGUUUUAAAUCCCUGAGUCUGAAGAUUAGAUUGAUAGUUGAGGAAUAAAACAAAAACACCCCACAUUUUUUCAGUGUUGUCAGAACUUUAGCUGUUAUGAGUAUUGUCAAGAUGAGGGAGAUCCUAUUUGUUAUUUAGUCCAGAGACAUUUUUCCAUCUGUGACCACAUAUGAGAUCAUCUAAACAUCCCUAGCCUCUGCUAGGGGUUAGUCUAGAAGGGACUGACACAACCAAAAGACAUCCCUUCUAGAUAUACUCAGAUUUUCUGAUUUCCUAACCUUCUUUCUACUGUUUUCCAAAAUGGCAGUGGUUAUGUAAUGAACUCACAUGAUGUCAUGGCACAAUUAGAUGGGGACUCCCCUGGCUAAUACUGGUUAUUUUGCUGGUAACUAUCACCAGAUUGUUGGCUGGAUCUCUUUGCCCAGGACAUUGACAUCUGCUGAGUCUGACUGAGUUGAUCCUAACAUUGGAUGUUCAUUGAUACACAUUUAGCGACCCAUCUAUUCCUUUGAAUGUUCCCUUGGCAAAGACCAUCAACUUUUACUAGCUGGUCUCCAUGAUACUUCUUGUUGCCAUUCAGAGUUCAUGAAGCUGGCUGUGACUUUCUUUUGGCUAAUGGAUGAAGCAGUUCUGUAGUAAGUAGCCUUUGAGUAUUGCCACUUAUCAGGAAGAAUUCCUUUGGCUGACUCUCAGCCAGACCCACAUUCACUUCUAGGCAUUGUUCUUCAGCUUCUUCUCUAAGGCUUUGAUUGUUGAAUGGUUAGGUUACUGGGGAGUAUGAUGCAUUAAGCAGAAACAUGAAAAACACAUUGUUUUAAUAAAAAUAAAACACUGAUUGCCUGUCAAAGAAGAAUUGCACUGGACUGAGUUUAGCGGUCAAGGAAGACUUUAUUCAACGGAGUUCAAGAAGAUUGAGAGAGAGCUUGAACUCAAUUCCAUUGAAACAAUUCCGUUGAAGCAUUAGGCUGAGCUAGUGGAAAUAUACUGGAGGACAUUGGGGAGGGGGGGACUUGGCCAAUGUGAUGAGGCCAUCUGUGUUUGCUAAUUGGAUCUUAUGUAAGUUAGGCUCCUACUCUCCCACAGAGCCUGGAAGAUGGAAGUCCUAUCUUUCUUGAUGAUUACAUUUCAAAGGGGUGGCUCCCAGGUCCUUGAGAAAGACAUCCCUGGAUUGUAAAACUGGCAAGAGGCUGGAUGAAGAUUUACACCUCAAGGGGCAGAGACAGAAUUUACAAUCAUAAGUUUUAUAAAGUAAAUGCUGUAAGAAAAGGGAGGUCAGGAGCUUAAAGUCAGAAAGAAACUUGUCUAAAGUUUAGUCUAGCUGAGGGGAAUGUUAUGGCUGUCUUGAUCACGUGCAUCACUAAUAAUGUCCCUUCUUGCCUGAGAAAUAAAAAUGACUACAAUUGUCUACAAGCCAGGGAGCAAGCCCUUACCAGGAACUGAAUCUCCCAGCCUCUUGAUCUUGGACUUCUCAGCCUCUAGAACUGUGAAAAAAUAAAUGUCUGUUGUUUAAAAUAAAUAAAUCAUAUAAUUAAAUAUGUGUAUUCAAGACUGAAUUGGACGAAUACUUAAGCCCAGAGGUAAACAAAUCUCAUUAAUUGGGAACAUAAUGUUAUAUUAAUGCGUUUUAGCAUUUUUACUAAUUGGGGAGUCACAUGAUUUAAUCAGUAAAAUGCCUGAAAUUGGUUUUGCACUUUACCUUUUUGAUGUACUAUGCCCUAGUAAUGCUGGCUUUUCUACCAUUAAGUGGAAAUGAUGUCUGUUGGGUACAGGAGAGUGACUUCAGUUUGUUGACCCAGAAGGAGUGAUAUGAGAAUAUUUGGCUCAUGACAGCUUAUCAUCUCAGUCUGGCUAGGGAAGAUAAAAAAAAAAAAAAGGCAGAGAAGCGAAAAAUGGUUUUAAAAUCUUUGGGAUAUUGCCAGUAGGCUCUCUCAAAUGCAUGAUGUCAUUUACUGAAAUGACCUGCCUCCCUGUAAAAGAUCUAAAUCAAAAUUUUUAGAAAAGUAUUAUAAUGGGCUUAGAAAGCCAACAUAGGCAGCUCCUGAUUAUCAUCUGAAUUUCUAGACAUGUGCUAAAAAUCAUUUUUCCAAAACUACUAGUUUGAAUGAAAUAAAACUUUGUGUGGAAAAAACAAAAUUAGUCCCAGAAUUUGGCAUAUUUGUAAUUUUAUUCUAGCCUUCCAGGGGAAAUUUGGCUGUCAUAAAAUUUGCAAAUCAAAUACACAAAUCAAAAUGCCUGCAUAGAGAAAGGUUGUAAAUAUUUACUUUUCAAAGCACUGCAUUAUUAAAGAUUUCAGAAAUGUCCAAUCAGUCAAUACAAGAACUAAGAUUAAAAGUCGAUCUGCCAAUUUGUGGUGAGGGAAAAUUGAUUGACAGCAAAGAACUAAAGAGAAGACAAUUUAGUGAGGUAUUAUUAAUUUAGAAGCUUGCUGGGGAGUUGAAGUGAAAAAGCAUCUCUUUUUCAUUGUAUCAAAAAUUCCAAAAUAAAGCAAUACGUACAUCUUUGAAAUGUAGUUUACAAGUGAUUAAGCCAUGUAGCUCUGAGGCAAUUGGUUGUCUGUGUAUGUGUGUGUGUGUGUGUGUGUAUGUGUGUAACUCAGUUGAGUUCUUCAACUUUUUUGAAAACUUCAUAAAAAAUACCGUGCAGGAAAGAAAAGUAUUCUGUGCUUUUAUUUAGUUUGGUUAGAGUAUCAGCUUUUUCAGCAGUUCAUAUAAAUUUAGGCCAUGUUACUAUGCGUGCAUGACUAUAAAUUUAUUUCAAUCUUACAUGCAGUAAAUACUUUUUUAGCACCUAUUACAUGUCCAGCAGUGUGCUAGACCCUUGGGGUCUGUCAGUGAAUAAAACAAGUGAAGGUCCCUCAUCUCAUAGAGCUUAUAUUCUAUUACAUGUCAUAUAUAAACACUAAAUAUACUACAUACAAUCAUAUGCUAUAUUAAAAGAUGGAGAUUUCUGUGAAAAAUGAAAAAGGGGUUCAGGGGCAGACAAACAGGAGGAGGAUUGUAAAGCAGAAGGAAUUUUAAAUAGAGGAGGUCAGGAGAUACAAGCCUCUAAGAGAGGGUAGAAUUCAAGCAAAGUCUUAUAGGCAGCAAAAGUAUUAGCCCAGAGUGUCUCAGAGAAAAAACAUGCCUGGCAGAAACAUGAGCUUAAUAAAGCUCCUGAGAUGGAAAAUGACUGAUAGUCAGUUUAUUCAAAGAACAGCAAGGAGGCCAUACUAAAUGGACGGCCGUGAGCUGGGAGGAAGAAAGAGAAGGUAGAGAUGAUAUGGGGCUGGUUGAAGGGGGCAGAUCAUUAAGGACACUGCACGUGGCGUAGCGGGAACUUUGUCUUUCACUCUGUAAAGUUGAGAGUUAUUGCAGUAUUUGGUGCACAGGUAUAAUAUUUCACACCUGUUGUGUAGAGAAUAGAGUCUCAAUGGGCACAGGGAGAAAGAGAGAGACUUAUUAGGUGACUGUUGCAAGAAUCCAGGCUUGAAUAAUAUGGCCUGAAUCAAAGGAGCAUCCAUGAAGGUAGAAAAACAGCAGGAUUCUUAAUAAUAAAGUAGUACCAACAGCAUCUUCUGGUGGUUUGGUAGUAUGAUAUGAGGGAAAGAAAGGGGACAAGUGUGACUCAAUUUCUUUUUUGUACUGAGGAACUGGAAGGAUAAAAUCACCAUGUACGGGCUGGGAAAGGAUGUGAACAGAGUAAGAUUCAGAGGGAGAAUGGAAAAUUAAUUUUGCAAAUGUUAAAGAGAUCAAGUAGUGUAGAAUACAUGAGUCUUGGGUUCAGGGAAGAAGUGUAGGCAGAUUUAUGAAUGAGGGAAUUUUUGACAUAUGGGUAAUACUUAAAUUCAUCAGGCUAAGAGAGAUCACCAAGGAGUGAAUGCAGAGAGAAAAGCAGAGUAAAGGUCUGAGACCUAGAGAGUCUCAACUUUAAAAUAUGAUGUGAGAUAAAAGAAGAAACCAGCCAUGGGAGUGAGGAUUAACUAAUUAGGUAGCAAGAAAAUUAAGAGAAGGUGGUUUUGUGGAAGCUAAGUGAGCCGUCUCUUCAGGCAUAGGGAGUGAUCGCAAGUAUCAGACGCCACAGAUUGUCCGUGUGAAUGGAAGACUGAAGCCUGACCACUGGAUUUAGCAACAUGGAGUUCUUGGUGACUUUGAGAAGAGCAGUUUCAGUUGAGUGGCAGAGAAUUAAAGUCUGAUUGGAGUUGGCCCAAGAAAGAACAGGAUGAGAAAAGUUGGAAAGUGAUGUGAAUAUACAUUAUUUGAAGACUGUUAACAUUAAAAGAAGAGGAAAAAAAUAGAAUGGGUUCCAGAAAAGUUUUAUUAUUUUCCUUUUAAAAUGAGAAAAAUAAGAGCGUGCUGAUGUAACGUGCACUGAUGGGAAUUAUCCAUUAAAGAGAAAAAUAAUGAAGCAGGAGAGAGACGAGAAUUGCUGAAGCGGUGACCCUGAGAUGGAUCUGCACAAGUAAGGGGCCCAACAACUGGCUUAUGUAACUAGAAAGCACAGCAAACAAUGCAGGCACAGCGGGACCUAGCAUCCUGAUUGUGUUUUCAGAACUUUGUCACUUCAUUUCUUAACUCUCCUCUCUCUGUUGGCUUCACUCAGGCAGGCUUUCUACAGCAAUAUUCCUACAGCUUGAUGCCUGUAUCUUAUCUUCUCAGCAUUAACAGUGGACAAGAGUCUCUUAGACUCCAGUAGUCCCAACAAAAUCCUGAAAUUGUUCCAUGAUCAUGGCUCAAGGUCACCUGCCCUUCACGGAAACAAUCACCGUGAUCAAAGUAGGCAAGGUCAAGAUUCAGAAGUGAACGUGGGAAAAGACCAACAGCAACAGACGCAGUAUCUUUAGAGUCACGAUCUCUUCCGGCAGAAGCGAAAAAUGACACUGGUAAAAAUACAAAGCUAUUAAAAGGGUCUAAAUGGUGGCCUGGGGGCACUGCACACCAUUUAAGGGAGCCAAACAAAUAUUGGGACCCUGUUCCUUCCAUUUCCUGACAUUGUUGUAAUUUAAUGUCAAGAUCCAAAUGAUCUGGGCAAACUUGGGCUCUUGGGGAAAUGUAGAUGAAAUCACAUUUGAAAAAAAGUAAUUAUCUUGGAGGGAAGCUUUCCUAUGACAAUUUUAAUUAAGCCAAUUAUUUUCUAGGAAUUUAGAUGUCCUAAUGGUGGCUAGAACCGUCAUUCAAUUAUGUUCACUUGUGUUUUGUGUCCUUGAACAUCUGUGUCCUUUUACACUUUAAAAUCUUGAGGAAGAAAUGUAACUCUUCCUGUCUGUGCAGUCUCUAUUUGUGUAAAGUUGACAUAUCACCUUUACUGAUGACCACCAGGAAUGUCUGUCAUGCCAUUUUUAAUGUUACUAGGAGAUAAAGGUGAUUCUUAUCUAUAUUUUAAAGCUCCAACUAAGAGUAUUUUUUUUUCUUCACCUUUUCCUUUUACUUCCCUGAAAUUUUAAGAUGUGCCUCUCUGACCAGCACUAAAUACUGGUGAUAUUUAGUAGAUGGGAUAUAUGAGUCUUAAACAUAAUUCAGCCAGCCAGGUAAUUUAUAAUUAAAUCAUACUGAAUAAAUUUUUUGAGUAUAUUCUUCGGAUAAAAUAUACUACUAUGAGGCAAAGAUAGUUGUAAUUACUCCAGGGGUAAAGAAUGAAAAAUGGGGUGAUUUGUAAAGUGACAGUCUCCCACGGAUUAAAACAGUAUUAAAAAUAAGCAAUUUCUCACUUGCACUAAAAUAUUUGCAUAGUAUUUGGAAAAUUUACUUAGCCUCUUCAAAUAUUUUUGUUUUUUUUUUUGAAAAGAGAUGUUAAAGCAUAUUUCAUCUCACUAAUUUUAAUAAUUAAGUUAAUACAGUGUAUACAAUUUCUAAUAGUGUGCUUCGCAUACAAUAGGCCCUAGAUAAUUUUUAGUUUGCUUUUCUUUCCUUAUAAUUCAUAGCAGCACAUAUUAUAGAAGCAAGUUUCUCAGAAAUCUGAUGUUGAAAAACGGUAGUCAGCAGAUAAAAGAGAUGCUGUCUCUGCGGUCAAUCAGAUACUAAAUUUUUUCAAAGCUGAACUUUCCUGCGAUCGUAACUCUCUUUGGAGCUAAUAGCAAUAAUAAUUUUUUUUUUUAUAAUUCAAAACGUUACAACUGCCAUAUACUCUCAUGUUUGCUGAAGGUGGGAGAAAUCAAUAGGCACUUAAUAUGCUUUUAAAAUGUAAUUAUCAUAACAAUACUACAGCAUUUGAGAGUCUUGUGAAUGGGGAGAACUUUUACCUUUCAAAGUGAGUUUCAGGCUGAAAUAUGAAGAGUUAAGAAAUGUUUCCAUUUGAAUACAUUUAUGACACUUUAUUACACCAAGUCUCCGUAACAAGGUUAAGGCAGGAGAAAGGGGACGGUGGAACAGGGAAAGGAAACCUGCAGUAUGGGAAAAAAUAUGAACUGGUGGGAGCAAGACUCUUGUUUUUGUUCUGUGGGUAGAUUAUCAGUAACUAUGGAAGAGAUGGGGUUAUGAAAAGAUGGUCUUUAGUUUCAUAAGAAUUGGUUUAUUAUGAUAUUGAAUAUAUUGGCAUACUAAAAUCAUGAGGCCAAAUAACACGUUACCUGGCAGCUGAAAGGUUUUGUUAAUAAACGAAAUAAAUCAUUACGUUUUAUUUUAUGGUAAUACAGAGUUUAAAAUGUGCUGGAGUUAGUCAUCGCUUUCUUCAUUAGAAAAGUAAAUAUGACAACAGUGUGUUUCUGAGGGCUGUGUGGUUUGGUGGUGGCCAUCCGGCUGGUGGUCUAACCUCAGCUGUAGUUAUGUUUGUAUUUCAUGUUGCUGGUGUCCCUUCCUGUCAUAGGCUGGCAAAAAAAAAAA